rnacentral:ncRNA from 1 species
CAAAAAACGAUGAUCAGAAGAGUAAUUGCCUUUAACUGAUAGUAGAGAGCCGGGGUAUGCUGAAAACCUGGUAUCAGUUGGGUAAUGAAAGCCACCUGAGAGUGCCGGUGAAAUAUCGUAAGCGAUAGUAAGCCGGACGGAAUCCAUCCGUUAUUGGAAUAGAGCCGGGCCUUGGCCAAUCAGGGUGGUACCGCGGGAGCAACUCUCGUCCCUUAC